rnacentral:rRNA from 1 species
CCCUUAGAUGUUCUGGGCAGCACGCGCGCUACAAUGGUCUUCGCAAACGGAUGCAUUCUCGAAGGAGAAUGCCAAUCUUGGAAUCUAUGCCUUGGUCGGGACAGUUGCUUGCAAUUUUUCGACUCGAACCAGGAAUUCCUUGUAAUCGUGAUUCAUCACAUCACGAUGAAUACGUCCCUGCCCUUUGUACACACCGCCCGUCGCUCCUACCGAUCGAAGAGUUAGGUGAAUUGUUUUGAUCGAUAAGAAUUGACUAUGGUCAACUCUCGUUGUGAAAUUCUGUGAAUCUGACUGUUUAGAGGAAGGAAAAGUCGUAACA